rnacentral:rRNA from 1 species
AUUGAACGCUGGCGGCAGGCUUAACACAUGCAAGUCGAGCGGAGACUUCGGUCUUAGCGGCGAACGGGUGAGUAAUACCUAGGAAUCUGCCUAUUAGUGGGGGAUAACGGCUCGAAAGGGUCGCUAAUACCGCAUACGUCCUACGGGAGAAAGUGGGGGAUCUUCGGACCUCACGCUAAUAGAUGAGCCUAGGCCGGAUUAGCUAGUUGGUAGGGUAAAGGCCUACCAAGGCGACGAUCCGUAGCUGGUCUGAGAGGAUGAUCAGCCACACUGGAACUGAGACACGGUCCAGACUCCUACGGGAGGCAGCAGUGGGGAAUAUUGGACAAUGGGGGCAACCCUGAUCCAGCCAUGCCGCGUGUGUGAAGAAGGGCCUUCGGGUUGUAAAGCACUUUAAGCGAGGAGGAAGGUCUUUGAACUAAUAUUUCAAAGAAUUGACGUUAACUCGCAGAAUAAG